UACGUAGGAGGCAAGCGUUGUCCGGAUUCAUUGGGCGUAAAGCGUCCGCAGGUGGCAGUUCAAGUCUGCUGUCAAAGACUGGGGCUUAACCCUAGAAAGGCAGUGGAAACUGAACAGCUAGAGUGCGGUAGGGGUAGAGGGAAUUCCCGGUGUAGCGGUGAAAUGCGUAGAGAUCGGGAAGAACACCAGUGGCGAAAGCGCUCUGCUGGACCUGCACUGACACUGAGGGACGAAAGCUAGGGGAGCGAAUGGG
rnacentral:rRNA from 1 species